rnacentral:lncRNA from 1 species
GGGGCCGGCACGCGGAGGACGGCAUAGCGGUCACAGCAUGGAGCAGGUCCCCACCCUCCAGUGGGACUUCAAGAUACAGCGGCCCUUCCCCCUACGUGUCAAGGGACUUCUCCCAGCCUGUCUGCCUCUUCUCCCAGUUACAGCAGCUGCAGCAACUGCUGCCACCAUUUCAUGACAGUGAGAAGAUGGGGUGGGCUAGAAGGCUCGCCACAUGAGCCCCAAAGGCAGCACGGCAGCCUUGGCCAGGUGGGCGGCUGCUUGCCUCUUACCCAGGUUCCGGGCACGGGACUGGGGUGUGGGCUAGGCUUAGUGACCAGGGAAGGGCCCCUUGCUUGAGCUGUCACUCUUCAAGGAGCUCUGCGUAUCCACCCACCCCCACCCCACCCCGAGUCUGACCAGUCAGGCCAGUGAGUAGGAGGCUCCGAUUCUGGCCCAGAGCCCUAGCUCUAAGAGGGGCAGCGAAGGGUGAGGGUGGAGUGUCCGCUAUGCCCCCAGCAAUGCUGACUCUAUAGGGUCCUUGGGUGGGGUUUGGAGUGGCAGAGUUGGCUUUUCUGUCAUUAGAUGAGCCGGGAAAUGCUGAACCUGUCCAUGUAACCGUCUUGUCCCUGCUCUGGGCUCCUUUCAGCUGCUUGCUGUGGGGUCUUGGACUCUUUAGGUCUCUCCCCUCCUAGUGAGCUCUGGUUCCCCACACUGUUGCAGAGGGGGUUCAGGCAUGGGCUACCUGUGAUAGUGAAGAGUCAGCAGAUGGAUGACCCUAAAUUCCGGGAGGUUGGGUGGCAUGCUGUGCUCUGGUUUUCUUUCCUGGGCUGGGCUGUGAGGUUUGGGGCGGGGUCAUGGGUUGCUCCCGUCUCUAGGCCUGUUUGGCAUCUUGGCCUUAAUUUAAAUGGCCAGUGGCAGCUCCCAAAGCACCAGGCCUGGUAGGGGGAAGGGGACACAGCCCCUCGUCUUGCUGUGUACUGAUGGACGCACGGGAAGGGGAGCCACUAAAGGCCACUGAGUUCUUCAGUAUAAAAUCAGUUUUAUGUUA